rnacentral:lncRNA from 1 species
CCGAACAGCCAUGGCCGUUACCAACAUCGUUACUUGCCAUCGUCACCAACAUCGAUGCCUGCCAUCAUCACCAACAUCGCUGCCUGCUUCAUCGUCGCUGCUGCCAUAGCCGGUUUUGUCCAGCGUACGUCGUCUUCGGCCAUAGCCGUUGGCAUCGAUGGCCAUUGCUGUUGUUCUUCUUAUUCAUCCUUGAAGAAGAAAAUGAAACGCUGAUAAGUUGAACGCCUGAAACAAACUUUCUGUUGAAACUGGUUGAGCAGCAGCAAGAAGCUCCCUAGCUUCUGCUUCACGUCAUCUCUCCCAUCGUCGUCC